rnacentral:lncRNA from 1 species
GAUUCUACGCAAUUUCCAAGUUUCACUUAAAGUGAAUAGUAACUCGGUUUUCCGGAGAAGUCACGGUGGGAAGUUGGCUUCUGGUAGGUAUCGGACACCGUUUAUAGCAGUCCAAUAGCUCGUUUCGACCGGUUCAACUGUUCUGGAACUAAUGGCGCUGACGGAUUUUGAGUUUGGCGCAUGAAUUUUGAGGAAAUCCGAAAAUACAUGUUUUAUAUGUAUUUGUGCAUAGUUUCUUCCGUUGGAGAGUUGGAAUGGAUUUCGUCGCGAAUCCGAGAGGGAUCGAGAUGAAACGAAAUCGUAGCUUUGUUGUCUCCGUCGUGCUGAUCGCACUGGUGCGAUCCGUUC